rnacentral:rRNA from 1 species
GCAUAUCAAUAAGCGGAGGAAAAGAAACCAACAGGGAUUGCCCUAGUAACGGCGAGUGAAGCGGCAACAGCUCAAAUUUGAAAUCUGGCCUUCGGGUCCGAAUUGUAAUUUGUAGAGGAUGCUUUUGGCGCGGUGCCUUCCGAGUUCCCUGGAACGGGACGCCUUAGAGGGUGAGAGCCCCGUACGGUUGGACACCAAGCCUCUGUAAAGCUCCUUCGACGAGUCGAGUAGUUUGGGAAUGCUGCUCUAAAUGGGAGGUAAAUUUCUUCUAAAGCUAAAUACCGGCCAGAGACCGAUAGCGCACAAGUAGAGUGAUCGAAAGAUGAAAAGCACUUUGAAAAGAGGGUUAAAUAGCACGUGAAAUUGUUGAAAGGGAAGCGUUUACGGCCAGACCUUUUCCUGGCGGAUCAUCCUGUGUUCUCACUGGUGCACUCCGCUAGGUUUAGGCCAGCAUCGGCUUCUGUAGGGGGAUAAAAGCCCUGGGAAAGUAGCUCUCUAGGGAGUGUUAUAGCCCUAAGCAUAAUACCCUUACGGGGGCCGAGGACCGCGCUCUGCAAGGAUGCUGGCGUAAUGGUCGUCAACGACCCGUCUUGAAACACGGACCAAGGAGUCGAACAUUUGUGCGAGUGUUUGGGUGUCAAACCCUCACGCGUAAUGAAAGUGAACGGAGGUGAGAGCCCUUUACGGGGUGCAUCAUCGACCGAUCCUGAUGUCUUCGGAUGGAUUUGAGUAAGAGCAUAAAUGUUCGGACCCGAAAGAUGGUGAACUAUGCGUGGAUAGGGUGAAGCCAGAGGAAACUCUGGUGGAGGCUCGCAGCGGUUCUGACGUGCAAAUCGAUCGUCAAAUCUGCGCAUGGGGGGCGAAAGACUUAUCGAACCAUCUAGUAGCUGGUUACCGCCGA